AUUAUCACGAAUUAAGUGUUUAGGAAUUUUUGUAUAAGUUUGACAUAAAUAAAAAGAAUCACUGUUUUUAUGACGACCCAUACAAAAUAAUCUCGUAUUGUAUUUUGUUUUCCACAUAUUACAUCAUCGAAUAAAAAAUUGAGUCCGCUUUGGCUUCAGUGGGUUACUCCUUUUAUUAGAUCAAUAAGCCUUUUUAAAUAGAUAUAUUUCGGCUGAUAUAAUGAUUUUGUAUAAAUGUAUAUAUAAUAUUUCGGAAAUUAAGCCUGUUUGGGCUUUCAAUUAAAAUGAGCAUAACAUUAGUUUUACAACAAUUCGAUGGUCCGACAAUCAGCGCUCGUAUGGAAUUUGAUUUACAGCAAUAUAAACCAUCACUUUUAUAAUAAAGACAUCAUUUAGAUAUAACUCACCCAUAUUAUUAUUGAGAAAACAAAAAAAAAAUCACCUAAUGGGACUAAUACAUAAAAAUAUUGGACAGGAUUUGGUAAAUACUUUGAUUAAUUCUUUGCCUAUUAAACUUCAUUUACCCGGAUAUCAAUUUUGUGCCUCUGGAACAAAACUCCGACAACGGUUUGAAAGAGGAGAUAAGGGUGUAAAGCUUUUAGAUGCAGCCUGCAGAGAACAUGAUAUUGCAUAUUACCAAGCAAAAGAUAUAAAUAUCAGACACCAAGCUGCUAAAGUUUUAUCUGAGAAAGCCUGGCAACGUGUUACAUCUAAGGACAGAACGAGCAAACACUUGGUUCGUUACAAAUGCAAUGAAAGCAAAACUCAAAUUGGAAAUGGGUAUUAAAAGUAAGAAAAGACAUCUAAAUGUAAAAAAGGUAAAAAGAUGAAAAAAGGAAAAGUGACAUCAAACAUAUUUUUUUUGAUGGCAGUUAAGGUAUCAACAUGCUUAACAAAAAGAAGCCGCAGUCAUUUAAUGAGGGUUAUAAAAUUUCUCAGGAUACUAUAAAGUUUUAAAAGCUUUAAAAAUAAAAAAAUUAACAUACCGAGAACAAUUCCAGUCCCAAAGAUUGGUGGAAUUUUACCACUCCUUCCUAUCUUCCAUCUGGUGGAUCAGCUAUAGCAAAAGUUUUGAAUGAUAUCAAGAAUGGAAAGGAACAAUUGAAUGAGGCUAGCCGUAGAUAUAUGGAAUCAACCGCUAUGGAGAGGGGUUUAUUCCUCAAGCCCUAUAAAAAGGGAUAUGGUUUAUAUUUACGACCCUAUCCAAAAAACUAACAAAGAAACCUACACAAGGACCAUUAACCGGUGUCGAUUUAUUGAAAUAUUGUAAACAUCUUAAACAUUUUAGAAGAAUUUUUAUGCGAAAUUCUUUACCGAAUAAACCGAAAUCUUAAGAAUGUGGAAUUCUUAAUUUAGAUGAUGCUGAUGGCCCUGGUUCUCAUUGGGAGCAUACUAUAAAAACAAAAAUUAUAAAGAUUAUUUUGAUACUUUUGGAAAUUUACAGCCACCUGUAGAACUGAUUAAUUACCUGAAGCCACCAAUAUAUUACAAUAAUGAACAGAAACAAAAAUAUAACAUAGUAUUAUGUGCUCAA